rnacentral:lncRNA from 1 species
CCCAGAGGGGCUGUGGCAAGAGGUGGGUUUGGUUUGCCUGGAGGAGGCAGUCUCUAGGCUGUGCUCCCUGCAGGAAUGUUUGCAGGGCUCCUGGGCUGGCACCAGCAGCUCUCCUGCUCCAUCCCAUGGGAAGCUGCUCUCAGGAAGGAGCUGACCACGGCUGGUUUUGUUAAGGCUUCAGGGUCCUGUUGGGCUCAGCAAGCACAGCAUGAAACCAUUCCCUGAGCAGUCACUGAAGCCUGAAUCAAAAGCAACAAGAAAAGGACCCUUCUCUUAUAGGUUUGCCAGAAAUGAGGCACACACACCUGUCAGGGUGAUGUGGGUGCUGAGGAACUUCACGGAGAGGUCAUCUCGAGUGGGAUUGCAGGAGAAGCAGGGCAUCAGGCCCAGCCUGGGUUAGGGCAGGUCCUGCCUGCCCAGCCUGAUCUCUGGGACCAGCUGACCUGCCCAGGGGCUGAGGCAGAGGGAUGUUGUCUAC